CUACGUUAGACUCGGGCGUUUUAGGAGUAACGUUAUUCUACUGGUGCGAGCGCGUGCUCGCAACCACCCCUGAAAACAGGAAUGACGGCAGUCGGCGAAUAUCAGCUAAUGGGAUGACGAUGGCGAUGGAGGCUGCAGCGAUGAGAGCGGCGACAGCAGCGGCAACGACGGAAUCGGGGAUAAACGACGGAACUAGGGGAAGAGCAGCUUAGAUUGACGACACCGAGGUGGGGAAGGUAGACAGUAGGAGGUGAAGGUUGCCAGAUAUGAAAACGAGCAGAGGCGAUACGAGAGAACAGAGAUAGAUCGAAUACUAUCGAGGAGGAGCUGUUCCUUGCGAAAGAGUGAAACCGAACGAACGGACAAGUUUAAGCUGGCGAGCAGACCGAGAUGCUCGCAAUCUCUUACCAUAAUAGAGAUGGUCGAAAUGACCGGGCGCGCAAGCUCGGUAUCAUUGAUUUAACGCCUAUCUAUAUUUCCAAGCGCAGAGACAACUUCCUAGAUCCCAAGGAUUUUGGAAGGAUUUUCAACGGUUUUUCCACCUUUGUACCUCAUCACUUUCAAACGUAAACACAUAAUUAAAAAACAACCGUCUCGUCUUUCGCAAUUCAUCUAAUUAAAUAAUCAAUAUAACAUACUAAUAUCAAAAUAAAAUAACAUAAUAAUAAUAAUAAUAUAUUUGGUUUAUAUUUUGAAAAUACAUACAAUAUAGAACGAAAAAUUUUUCAAAUGUUUCCUAUAAUUAGAAUUAAAACAAUCAGAUAAUGACAUGCGUAUUUUAAUUAUCACUUUAUAGAAUUAAAAGCAUCGUUCGAAUAUCUAAACUUACAACAUUAACCGUGUCAUUUCUCUGGUCCUUUUCCGCUUGUUAUUUACUUAUUUAAAUAUUUAUAGGUAUAGAAUAUCCUAAGUAACAAAUUAGCAUGUAUAUAUGUAUAUGUAUAAACAUUCUUAAUUGUUAAUUAUAGAAGUUAUAAAUCUUAACUAUUGAAUGUAUUAUUGACGCUAUCAUUAUUAUUGUUGUUAUCACUACCAUUGUCGCAAUUAAUUGUACUACAAUCUUCAUCACCAUUAUCGUGGUUACAAAUCAUAAAAUCGUUUCAUAAAUCAUUAUAAUUAUUAUUACAAAAUCAU